GAUGAACGCUGGCGGCGUGCCUAAUACAUGCAAGUCGAGCGAACGGACGAGAAGCUUGCUUCUCUGAUGUUAGCGGCGGACGGGUGAGUAACACGUGGAUAACCUACCUAUAAGACUGGGAUAACUUCGGGAAACCGUAGCUAAUACCGGAUAAUAUUUUGAACCGCAUGGUUCAAAAGUGAAAGACGGUCUUGCUGUCACUUAUAGAUGGAUCCGCGCUGCAUUAGCUAGUUGGUAAGGUAACGGCUUACCAAGGCAACGAUGCAUAGCCGACCUGAGAGGGUGAUCGGCCACACUGGAACUGAGACACGGUCCAGACUCCUACGGGAGGCAGCAGCAGGGAAUCUUCCGCAAUGGGCGAAAUCCUGACGGAGCAACGCCGCGUGAGUGAUGAAGGUCUUCGGAUCGUAAAACUCUGUUAUUAGGGAAGAACAUAUGUGUAAGUAACUGUGCACAUCUUGACGGUACCUAAUCAGAAAGCCACGGCUAACUACGUG
rnacentral:rRNA from 1 species